UGCGGGUUAGAGGAGUUCGGAGUCCUCACGGGCCUCAUAAGUCCGGGAUCGCCGGUUCAAAUCCGGCACCCGCAACCA
rnacentral:tRNA from 1 species